UGAGGAAUAUUGGUCAAUGGGCGCGAGCCUGAACCAGCCAAGUAGCGUGAAGGAUGAAGGCUCUAUGGGUCGUAAACUUCUUUUAUAUGGGAAUAAAGUUUUCCACGUGUGGAAUUUUGUAUGUACCAUAUGAAUAAGGAUCGGCUAACUCCGUGCCAGCAGCCGCGGUAAUACGGAGGAUCCGAGCGUUAUCCGGAUUUAUUGGGUUUAAAGGGAGCGUAGGUGGAUUGUUAAGUCAGUUGUGAAAGUUUGCGGCUCAACCGUAAAAUUGCAGUUGAAACUGGCAGUCUUGAGUACAGUAGAGGUGGGCGGAAUUCGUGGUGUAGCGGUGAAAUGCUUAGAUAUCACGAAGAACUCCGAUUGCGAAGGCAGCUCACUAGACUGUUACUGACACUGAUGCUCGAAAGUGUGGGUAUCAAACAGG
rnacentral:rRNA from 1 species